GGGUCGGUAGCUCAGUUGGUAGAGCCGUUGACUUUUAAUCAAUUGGUCGCUGGUUCGAAUCCAGCACGACCCACCA
rnacentral:tRNA from 1 species